rnacentral:lncRNA from 1 species
AUGUGCUCCUGCGGCUCCCCGCUUCUGGGUUUUCCAGAAACUGCAGAUCACUUUUUCAUUAUUGAGCACGCACAGUGUGUAAAUAUAUUUCGUUUCUCAACACCCCAAUUAAGCCCCUUGGCUCUACCGGGACCUCCAUGUUCUGGCCACCUGCAUGUUCCACCUUUGACCACGUCACAUGGGGGUCCACCCCUCCUCCCUCUAGCUCAGUCUCCUCCAACCCCCCCGACGCCCUCCUGGAAGGGCAGCUGGGUUCCUGAUGGUGUGAGAACACAGGGACUUCACCCGGCUUCUGCCUGCGGCACGUUGGUCUCCUCUUGGCCUCAGUCUCCUCAUCUGUGAAGCGGGGAUGCAUCAAGUCACCGUGUCGCUGGGGUCUGGGGUGAUAAGGCGGGACAGCGCUAUGAGAGGACUACCACCUUGCAAGAGGGGUGUGCACACACGGGUCACCCUCGCUUCCAUUCCGACGUGUCCCUGUGGCCCCUCCAGGCCCAGCUCAGCACGACAGAGGCAGAGGUGCUCUGUAAAUACCACCUGAGGAAUCUGUAAAAUUUGAGGGGGCCAAGGGCGAAAAUGCGCCGUAAGCCCCAAUCCUAGGACCAGGGAGCCCACUUCGGAGCUUG